UAUGCAUUUGUGGGUGCAGCGCAUGCUAAUGCAUGCUGUGUGUGUUUAUAUAUGUAUCUAUAUAUAUAUAUAUAUAUAUAUAUAUAUGCAAGAGUGUGUGUGUGCAGUGCAUGCUUUGCAUGUAUGUGUGUGUGGGUGAGUAUGGGUUGGGCUCAAGCCCAAACCACCUUUUGAUCCUUACCUAUCCAAAUCCAAGGUCCAUUUCCAUUUCCUAGAAUUAUAUUGUUGGGUAGUUUGAUUAACUGUACGUUCUUGUACUUAGGGACACUUAUCGCGACGUUUCUGUCUUCGCUAGUGGCGCAGCUUUUGACGGAGUAUCUGACUUAGGAUGAAGGCACAUAACCCCGGCAACAAGGUACUUCCGCAGCGGCAUCUUCGAGUCCUCUCGGGGUAGGACCCACUCAUUUGUUCAUUCAAUCUUAUCUUAAUUCUUAUUAGUGACUAGGUUUAGUUAUAUGCUCUGAACACGUUCCUAAAUUGUUAAUUCAUUGUUUUUAAAUUCA